AAAUACUCUGGAGAGACCAAAAAAACGGCGCCGAAGGUGUAACCCGCGAGAUCUUCGCGGCUAUCUCUCAGGCAAAGAGGACAGAGCGG
rnacentral:ncRNA from 1 species